GGCCUCACUCACGGCAUAUGGAACUAACCACGCCCCUAACUAAGAAGGCACACCUUAGUUGCAGUUAGCACACAAUUAAAGCAACUCUCCAAGUUUUACCUUAAAGUUCAAAAUUGCUAGGAGUUGAAACUACUAGAAAUAUAUUUACAUGCAAGAGUCAAAGAAACUUUGAACUAUUUAUGGCCUUUAAUAAUUAAGUAAGGUAUACUCCUGUGAUCAAGACUUGGAGCAUAUUUGUUUCUCUCUGCCUGGUUCCUCUAGAAAUUGGAAACUAUCAUGUGUGACACAUGUGCUCAUGGAUUAUUGUCCGAAGCAAGACAUGUGACCAAGCCUAACAUCAACUGGGUGAAGAGCUAUAUGUUCCUUUCUCAAGAGGCACUACAAGUGACAUGCCACUGGGCAGUUUAGCAAAAGCUGGAGGUGCCUUGACAUUUGCAGUACACUGAAACAGUGGCUGGCUUGAAAAAUCCCAAAACGAUUUUCUGCAGGAGAGCCCUUUUGACUAAUAUGAGGGCAGUGAAAAGACUCCAUUUAUGAAACAGGAAAUGAGCCCUCAUCAGACACUGAAUCUGCCGGCACAUUGAUCUUCGACUUCUGCCUUCAGAACCAUGAAAGGGUGAGGCAAUGAAAAGCCAAUCUGUAAUUGUCUGCUCUUUCUUACCCUGCUGCUAACUACUGA
rnacentral:lncRNA from 10 species